GACGAACGCUGGCGGCGUGCCUAAUACAUGCAAGUAGAACGCUGAAGGAGGAGCUUGCUUCUCUGGAUGAGUUGCGAACGGGUGAGUAACGCGUAGGUAACCUGCCUGGUAGCGGGGGAUAACUAUUGGAAACGAUAGCUAAUACCGCAUAAGAGUAGAUGUUGCAUGACAUUUGCUUAAAAGGUGCAAUUGCAUCACUACCAGAUGGACCUGCGUUGUAUUAGCUAGUUGGUGAGGUAACGGCUCACCAAGGCGACGAUACAUAGCCGACCUGAGAGGGUGAUCGGCCACACUGGGACUGAGACACGGCCCAGACUCCUACGGGAGGCAGCAGUAGGGAAUCUUCGGCAAUGGACGGAAGUCUGACCGAGCAACGCCGCGUGAGUGAAGAAGGUUUUCGGAUCGUAAAGCUCUGUUGUAAGAGAAGAACGAGUGUGAGAGUGGAAAGUUCACACNGNGACGGU
rnacentral:rRNA from 1 species